CCUACGGGUGGCUGCAGUGGGGAAUAUUGCACAAUGGGGGAAACCCUGAUGCAGCGACGCCGCGUGAGUGAAGAAGUAUUUCGGUACGUAAAGCUCUAUCAGCAGGGAAGAAAAUGACGGUACUUGACUAAGAAGCCCCUGCUAACUACGUGCCAGCAGCCGCGGUAAUACGUAGGGGGCAAGCGUUAUCCGGAUUUACUGGGUGUAAAGGGAGCGUAGACGGUAGGGCAAGUCUGGAGUGAAAUCCCAUGGGUUAACCAUGGAACUGCUUUGGAAACUGGGCAGCUAGAGUGCGGGAGAGGUAAGCGGAAUUCCUGGUGUAGCGGUGAAAUGCGUAGAGAUUAGGAAGAACACCAGUGGCGAAGGCAGCUUACUGGACUGUAACUGACGUUGAGGCACGAAAGCGUGGGGAGCAAACAGGAUUAGAUACCCGUGUAGUC
rnacentral:rRNA from 1 species